rnacentral:rRNA from 1 species
CCUACGUGUGGCUGCAGUGGGGAAUAUUGGGCAAUGGGCGCAAGCCUGACCCAGCAACGCCGCGUGAGUGAAGAAGUAUUUCGGUACGUAAAGCUCUAUCAGCAGGGAAGAAAAACAGUCCUUUGGACUUUGGACGGUACCUGACCAAGAAGCCCCGGCUAACUACGUGCCAGCAGCCGCGGUAAUACGGAGGGGGCAAGCGUUAUCCGGAUGUACUGGGAGUAAAGGGAGCGUAGACGGCAGCGCAAGUCUGGAGUGAAAUGCCGGGGCCCAACCCCGGAACUGCUUUGGAAACUGUGCAGCUGGAGUGCAGGAGAGGUAAGCGGAAUUCCUAGUGUAGCGGUGAAAGGCGUAGAUAUUAGGAGGAACACCAGUGGCGAAGGCGGCUUACUGGACUGUAACUGACGUUGAGGCUCGAAAGCGUGGGGAGCAAACAGGAUUAGAUACCCGUGUAGUC